rnacentral:rRNA from 1 species
UGGGGAAUUUUGGACAAUGGGCGCAAGCCUGAUCCAGCCAUGCCGCGUGCGGGAUGAAGGCCUUCGGGUUGUAAACUGCUUUUGUACGGAACGAAAAGACUCCUUCUAAUAAAGGGGGUCCAUGACGGUACCGUAAGAAUAAGCACCGGCUAACUACGUGCCAGCAGCCGCGGUAAUACGUAGGGUGCGAGCGUUAAUCGGAAUUACUGGGCGUAAAGCGUGCGCAGGCGGUUAUGUAAGACAGAUGUGAAAUCCCCGGGCUCAACCUGGGAACUGCAUUUGUGACUGCAUGGCUAGAGUACGGUAGAGGGGGAUGGAAUUCCGCGUGUAGCAGUGAAAUGCGUAGAUAUGCGGAGGAACACCGAUAGCGAAGGCAGCUCACUAGGUCUGGAUUGACGCUCAGGGGCGAAAGCGUGGGGAGCAAACA